AACGAACGCUGGCGGCAUGCCUAACACAUGCAAGUCGAACGAGACCUUCGGGUCUAGUGACGCACGGGUGCGUAACGCGUGGGAACCUGCCCUUAGGUUCGGAAUAACUCCCUGAAAGGGGUGCUAAUACCGGAUAAUGUCUUCGGACCAAAGAUUUAUCGCCUUUGGAUGGGCCCGCGUUGGAUUAGCUAGUUGGUAGGGUAAAAGCCUACCAAGGCGACGAUCCAUAGCUGGUCUGAGAGGAUGAUCAGCCACACUGGGACUGAGACACGGCCCAGACUCCUACGGGAGGCAGCAGUGGGGAAUAUUGGACAAUGGGCGAAAGCCUGAUCCAGCAAUGCCGCGUGAGUGAUGAAGGCCUUAGGGUUGUAAAGCUCUUUUACCCGGGAUGAUAAUGACAGUACCGGGAGAAUAAGCUCCGGCUAACUCCGUG
rnacentral:rRNA from 1 species